GGAAAAGGCACUAUAGAUAUUUGUGACAUGAUCAUCUAUGCAUUUGCGAACUGGACAAGAUGAAGAGCUUAGAGAGUUCUUUUCAUCAGAGACAAAUUCCGAUCUUGCUAUGCGCCACUCCUUGUCUCCGCUCAAUCUUCCAGGUAAUGAGACUGAAGGGCCAUCUUUACGAUGCAAUUCUUGCUCAAUGACAUUCAUUUCGAACCUGUCCCGUUCUUCCAAUGCUGAAAUUACUUCAGCAGAUAAUGUUUUCCGAAGUUCUCCAGUUAUAUCAGAUAAAACAGCAACAAGAAAAGGCUCUGAAAUGAUGUUUCGCCGAGAAAGAACCUCAGGCCACUUCCUGGUGUAACGCUUAGUAACAUCAUGCACGCCAUCUUUUGCAAUAGCAAACACAUAGUUCAAAUUCUUUUUCCAUCCCUUCUCAUAUAAUAGAGGAUUGUCAUAUAUUCCUUCACAAGGAUCAAG
rnacentral:misc_RNA from 1 species